rnacentral:rRNA from 1 species
CCCCAGACUCCUACGGGAGGCAGCAGUGGGGGAUAUUGCACAAUGGGGGAAACCCUGAUGCAGCGACGCCGCGUGGGUGAAGAAGCGCCUCGGCGCGUAAAGCCCUGUCAGCAGGGAAGAAAAUGACGGUACCUGAAGAAGAAGCCCCGGCUAACUACGUGCCAGCAGACGCGGUAAUACGUAGGGGGCAAGCGUUAUCCGGAUUUACUGGGUGUAAAGGGGGCGCAGACGGCGAUGCAAGCCAGGAGGGAAAGCCCGGGGCCCAACCCCGGGACUGCUCUUGGAACUGCGUGGCUGGAGUGCAGGAGGGGCAGGCGGAAUUCCUGGUGUAGCGGUGAAAUGCGUAGAUAUCAGGAGGAACACCGGUGGCGAAGGCGGCCUGCUGGACUGCAACUGACGUUGAGGCCCGAAAGCGUGGGGGGCAAACAGGAUUAGAUACCCUAGUA